rnacentral:rRNA from 1 species
UUGAUCCUGGCUCAGAAUCAACGCUGGCGGCGUGCCUAACACAUGCAAGUCGAACGCGAAAACCCCGCAAGGGGUUAGUAGAGUGGCGAACGGGUGAGUUACACGUGGGUGACCUACCUUCGAAUGGGGGAUAACGUCCCGAAAGGGACUCUAAUACCGCAUAACAUCCUGCCUUUGAACAGGUGGAGAUCAAAGCCGGUGAUCGCAAGACCUGGCGUUUGAAGAGGGGUCCGCGUCUGAUUAGCUAGUUGGUGAGGUAACGGCUCACCAAGGCGACGAUCAGUAUCCGGCCUGAGAGGUCGGACGGACACACUGGGACUGAGACACGGCCCAGACUCCUACGGGAGGCUGCAGUGGGGAAUUGUUCGCAAUGGGCGCAAGCCUGACGACGCAACGCCGUGUGGAGGAUGAAGGUCUUCGGAUUGUAAACUCCUGUUGCCCGGGACGAAUUGCUCCAACCUAAUACGUUGGAGUUUGACGGUACCGGGUGAGGAAGCCCUGGCUAACUCUGUGCCAGCAGCCGCGGUAAUAAGGU